rnacentral:rRNA from 1 species
AUUGAACGCUGGCGGCAUGCCUUACACAUGCAAGUCGAACGGCAGCACGGGAGCAAUCCUGGUGGCGAGUGGCGAACGGGUGAGUAAUAUAUCGGAACGUGCCCAGUCGUGGGGAUAACGUAGCGAAAGCUACGCUAAUACCGCAUACGAUCUAUGGAUGAAAGCGGGGGAUCGCAAGACCUCGCGCGAUUGGAGCGGCCGAUAUCAGAUUAGGUAGUUGGUGAGGUAAAGGCUCACCAAGCCGACGAUCUGUAGCUGGUCUGAGAGGACGACCAGCCACACUGGGACUGAGACACGGCCCAGACUCCUACGGGAGGCAGCAGUGGGGAAUUUUGGACAAUGGGCGCAAGCCUGAUCCAGCAAUGCCGCGUGCAGGAUGAAGGCCUCGGUGUAACUGCUUUGUACGG